AGCGUAGGCGGAUUCUUAAGUGGGAUGUGAAAUACCUGGGCUUAACCUGGGUGCUGCAUUCCAAACUGGGAAUCUAGAGUGCAGGAGGGGAGAGUGGAAUUCCUAGUGUAGCGGUGAAAUGCGUAGAGAUUGGGAGGAACACCAGUGGCGAAGGCGACUUACUGGGCCGUAACUGACGCUGAGGCGCGAAAGCGUGGGGAGCGAACA
rnacentral:rRNA from 1 species